CAAGUCGAACGAAUCCCAAGCCUUGUAGCAAUACCGGGCUUGGGGGAAGUGGCGAAAGGGGCAGUAAUGCAUGGACAACCUACCCUGGGGACCGGGAUAGCCUUUCUAACGAAAGGGUAAUACCGGGCGAUGUGGUCGAGGGGCAUCCCUUGGCCAUGAGAUGAAUUUCGCCUCGGGAGGGGUUCAUGUCGUAUUAGCUUGUUGGCGGGGUAACGGCCCACCAAGGCAAAGAUGCGUAGCGGGUGUGAGAGCACGACCCGCGCCACUGGCACUGAGACACUGGCCAGACUCCUACGGGAGGCUGCAGUCGAGGAUCUUCGGCAAUGGGCGCAAGCCUGACCGAGCGACGCCGCGUGUGCGACGAAGGCCUUCGGGUUGUAAAGCACUUUAGUGGGGGAGAAAAGCGCAAGCUUGAUCUAUCCCAAGAAUAAGCACGGGCUAAGUUCGUGCCAGCAGCCGCGGUAAGACGAACCGUGCGAACGUUGUUCGGAAUCACUGGGCUUAAAGGGCGCGUAGGCGGCUUGCCAAGUCCGGGGUGAAAUCCUCCAGCUUAACUGGAGAAGUGCCUUGGAUACUGGCGAGCUCGAGCGAGGUAGGGGCGGGUGGAACUUCCGGUGGAGCGGUGAAAUGCGUUGAUAUCGGAAGGAACGCCGGUGGCGAAAGCGACCCGCUGGACCUCUUCUGACGCUGAGGCGCGAAAGCUAGGGGAGAGAACGGGAUUAGAUACCCCGGUAUUCCUAGCCCUAAACGAUGGGUACUAGAUAGUGGACUUGACAUGGGUUCACUGUCGAAGCAAAAGUGGUAAGUACCCCGCCUGGGGAGUAUGGUCGCAAGGCUGAAACUCAAAGGAAUUGACGGGGGCUC
rnacentral:rRNA from 1 species